AUUUUGUCAACUGUAUCAUGGUGCACUUUGGUUGUUGCAGGAAGCUGCAAUGUCAACCAAAUGACAAUUGGAUAUUUUUGUGGAAAAUGCUGUAAUCUUAAGAGAAGAAAUGGGUUAUCGUUUCACAAGGAACCCUUCUUAAGAACUAAGGAUAUUGAUUCUGCUUGCUGAUCCCAAAGGCCAGAGUUCACUCAUCAUAUCGUCCAACUGCUGCUUGUUUUGUUUCAGGGCUUUCCCUUUAAUGCCCUGACAUCCAAUGUGAUCACUCAAGUGAGGAGGCUGAAACUCCCAACUUGGAAGCAGAAAGUUGUAUGUUUAAGCUCCUAUCCUGACUUGACUGCAUUCUCUUGCUACUUGCCUUCAUAUUUGGAGAGAUGAGCAUUUCCACCAAAGAGGACUUUCCAGAGGGAGUCGUGUGUAGUUAUCCAGUUUGCUCAACAGUCUCAGAAAGAACUUUGUUGCCUUCAGUUGUAGAAGCUCCAGGUGAACAAAACUACAUUAGAAAUUAUCAGGAGACACAAGAGACUGCAGAUGCUGGAAUCUGGAGCAACACACAAAAAGCUGGAGGAAUUCAGCAAUGGACAGUUAACGUUUUGGGUCACUACCCUUCAUCUGGACUGAUAGAAAUUAGCAGUUCACCACAACAGUGAAAUGACGCGUAAUAACAGGCCCUUCCGGCCCAACGAGUCCGCGCAGCUCAUUUUAAACCCAUAUUAACCUACCUGUACGUCUUUAGAAUGUGGGAGGAAACCGGAGCACCUGGAGGAAAUCUACGCAGACAUGGGAGAACGUACAAACUCCUUACAGACAGCGACGGGAAUCGAACCCCGAUCGCUGGCGCUGUAAUAGCGUCAUGCUAACUGCUACGCUAUGCUACCAUGCCGCCUUCUGUGUGUUGUCUGUACCUUCAUGCCUGCGAUGCUGCAGCAAGCAGGUUUUUUAUUUUACCUGUACUUCACCAUGAUUGUGCACAUGAUAAUAAACUCAACUUGACAUAACUACAGCAACUUCUCUAACAGGACCUCCCAAACCUCCAACCUUAUCCACCAAACAGAGUCUGGGAACCCCACCAUCUGAUCACACAGCAUCCUGAUUGGGAAAUAUAUCACUGCUCAAACUUCUUUGGUGGGUCAGACUAUUGGAAUUCCCUGCAGAUAGAAGGACCUUUACCCCACAAUUGUAAUUGCACAAGAAAGUGGCUCACCACAUUCCUUUCAAGGGUAAUUUGAUUUAAGCAUUGUCUGCUGGCUUUGUCAGCAAUGCUUACUGCCAUGAAUUCAUAGAAUAAUUGAAGUAGGAUCAUAGAAAAAUUAGGACAUUAAAGGAGAUUAUUUAGACCAUUGUGUUUGUGCUGGUUAAAGAAA